rnacentral:misc_RNA from 1 species
AAGGUAAACAUCAGUGUACUUAUCAUGUUUCCUCCUUUGUUUCUUAUGAUAACCUAUUUGUUUCUUAUGAUCACUUAUCUUCUUUUUCUAGCUUAUUUAUUGCGUCCUUAGAUUAUGCUUUGAUUCCUAAAAUUCUUAAUGAAGCUUUAUCUCAUCCUGGUUGGCGUAUUACUAUAGAAAAGAUGGUAGCGUUGGAUGGUAAUGGUGCUUGAAAUUUGGUAACUUUAUCUACAAGAAAGAAAGCUAUUGGAUGUAAAUGGUGUUCACAGUAAAGGUUAAUAUUGAUGGUUCUAUGGCUCAUCUUAAGGCCCUUCUUAUUGCUAAGGGCUAUGCUUAGACUUAUGGUGUAGGUUAUUCUGACACUCUCUCUAGUAGCAAAACUUGCCUCCGUUCGUCUAUUUGUCUCUAUUGCAAGCAACUAUAACUGACCCUUGUACCAGUUGGACACCAUGAAUGAUUUUCUGCAUGAAGAUCUACACGAGCAAGUCUAUAUGGAGCAAUCACUUGGAUUUGUUGCUCAAAGGAAAUAUUGAAAAGUUUGUUGGCUUCGCAAAUAUUUGUAUGGUUUGAAGCAAAGUCCUAGUGCUUGGUUCGGUAGAUUCAAUGAGGCAGAUUAAAAUUUUGUGUUGAAGAAGAAGAAGUAUGAUCACUUAGUAUUUUUUUAGACAGUCUGAGGCUAAUAUAAUUUUACUAGUUGUAUAUGUUGAUGACAUUAUUAUUACUAGGAGUGACAUUGCAUCUUUAAAAUCCUUUCUUUACAACUAGUUUCAGACAAAGGAGUUAGGGUUGUUGAAGUAUUUCUUCGUUUUUGAGGACGGAAGGUGUAAGAAGGGUAUUUUUUUGUCUCAAAGAAAGUAUAUUCUUGAAUUGUUAGCAGAGACUAAGAAAUUGGGUUCUAAACCGUGUAGUAUACUAAUGACUCCUAAUUUGCAACUUACAAAAGAAGACGAUGAAUUGUUUGAAGACCUUGAGAAGUAUAGAAGACUGAUGGGUGAAUUAAAUUAUCUUACAGUGACUUGUCCUGACCUUGCAUACUUUGUUAGUGUUAUAAGUCAGUUCAUGUUUUCUCCAAUAAUUAAUCAUUGGCUAGCCUUUGCACAAAUCUUAUGUUACUUAAGGGAAUCUAGGAUGGGGUUUGUUAUAUUCAAAUCAUGGCCAUUUUAUAUUGAAUGUUUUUCAUAUGAGGAUUGGGCAGGAUCCAAAGUUGAUAGAAUAUCAAUUGCAAGUUAUUGUAUCUUUAUUGGGGGAAAUUUGGUGUCAUGGAGAAGUAAAAAGCAAGAUGUGAUAUUUUGAUUCAUUGCAGAAUUAGAGUAUAGAGCUAUGACACAAUCUGUGUCUAAGAUAAUGUGGAUGUAUCAAUUAUUGACUGAAGUUGGUCUUAAAGUCUUCGUUGCUAGCUAAGUCAUGGUGUGAUAAUCAAGUUACUCUCCAUAUUACCUCUAACCAUGUGUUUCACGAAUAAACCAAACAUAUCGAAUGAUUGUUGCUUCGUUUGUGACAAGAUUCAGGAAAAGUUUAU